rnacentral:rRNA from 1 species
UACGAAGGGGGCUAGCGUUGUUCGGAAUUACUGGGCGUAAAGGGCUCGUAGGCGGCCGCUUAAGUCAGACGUGAAAUCCCUCGGCUCAACCUGGGAACUGCGUCUGAUACUGGAUGGCUCGAGUUCGGGAGAGGGAAGUGGAAUUCCAGGUGUAGCGGUGAAAUGCGUAGAUAUCUGGAGGAACACCGGUGGCGAAGGCGGCUUCCUGGACCGACACUGACGCUGAGGCGCGAAAGCCAGGGGAGCAAACGGG